rnacentral:lncRNA from 1 species
AUUGUGAAGGGCGACAAAUAAGCUUCUGUGGUUUAUUGCCUUAAGCUGAUGUACUCUCCUUUGUAAUUGAGUGUAAGAGCAGAUUGAAUUUCGUUUCACCACAAUUUUGGUUUGUAACAUAGAACUAUUUAUAUGAAAUGUAAGAAGGAAAAGGAGGGGGAGUUCCAUUCACUUACAGUCGUAAUUGUUGUUUAUAAUACUAUUCAACUUUAUGACAUGCUUAUGUGCUCUGAUUUUCCUGAUAAUAUGUUAUGACUCGUCAUAAUUGAUGCAUUCCCAUAAUUUUGUAGAAAAGGGUGGUUAAUAUUAGGGGAAAUUACAG